AUAAAUCAAUAAUGACAAAGUUUACGAAGAUUUAGAAUCUUUGUUUUGCUUAUAGCAAUUUGUU
rnacentral:tRNA from 1 species